rnacentral:lncRNA from 1 species
CGAGGGGCGGCCAGGGGGCGGCGCAGUGUUGAGAAAGGCCGUGGUCACAGGCCGAGGUUCUGUGGAGGGUGGAAUGCGCUCGGGGGAGCUAGGCCUCCGCACCCGCCUUCGCCGCGUCUCUAGCGUCGACCUGAUAGCCGCACCCACCCUCCGCUGCACUGUCUGGGGCAACUGGGUGGUUUUCCCGGUGGUUUGAGACUAACAUUUAGCCAGGAAUUAACUCACUUCUACCCCGAGGGCCCGAUGAGCAGAGAGGGCUGUGGCGGAUGCCAGGGCAGUCUAAAAUGUAACCAACCUGAGAGACUGGUUCAGGCCAUGACGGGAAGCAGGACAUGAGACAUGCCUCAUUACAUCCUUCAGCAUUGACAUCAACACAACAGAC